AUGCUCAAGUCACUGAUGCACCCGGGCAUAAAAUGGGCACACGACAGCGGCCUAAAUUUAGCAUUACGAGAUCAAGUCACGGGGAAUGUUCAAGAAAGUCAAGGAGUUUUCCCCGAGACCUCGAACCAAGAACGGCACAGCACAGAAACCGUCGCAACGGAACGGGGGAAAUGGCGGAGAAGCGGCGUGGACUGGCGCGUUACCGAUGCUGAACUCGAAGACGACGACGACGGUGAGGAUGGCCCAGACGGAGUGGCUGACGAUGUCGCGCGGCUCGCGGAGGAAGACGAGGAAGGAGAUGAGGGCGAGCGCGAGGCCGACCUUGGCCGCGAAGACGGGCUUCCGGCGGUCGGCCCGCGCGAACGCCCACAUCUCGGCCACCCCGUCGCAGAGCGAGCCCCACGCCCCCGCCACGGCGGCGCCGGCGCGGCGAAGCAGCCCCUGCUUGGGCCCCCCGUCGCCGCCGCCGGCCUGGGAGCCCGGCAGGCUCCACGCCGACGAGAGCAGCGGGACGUCCCCCCGCGCGCCCCGCUGGUCCUCCAGCGUCGACCACAGCGACCCCAGCUGCGCCGGCGGCACGCCCGCCGCGCCCGCGGCCAUGGCCGGACGGAUCUGCGAGACGCUCGCUUCUGGAAGGAGGGCGUCGCGCGCGCGCGGGUUCGGAUUUCAGGGUGCGCAGUGUUGCUCUCGGCCUUUCUUGGUCGGCUGCGCCCGCGUGUCGCGCUCUCGGCUAUAUGGAUGGACUCUGGUCAGCCGUGGCGUCACCCCGGCGGCUGCCGCGCGACGCGAAAAGCUGCAGAGCCGGGGAAGGGACGGGAGGAAAACGCCAUGGGUGGCAAAGGCCGCAUUUUUAUAUGGCGGGAUGGAAUCCAGCGAGCGGCUGGCCGCCGUGCGAUGCGAUCCGCUGCGAGAGGUGCAAGGCCACGCAGGGCAGAAUUGAUCCGUCCCUUUCUUGUGAUCCGGGCGCGCGUGGGGUUGAGCCGUCCUUGUGCCCCGUUGUCGGAUUGGUCGGUCUGA
rnacentral:rRNA from 1 species